rnacentral:misc_RNA from 1 species
GAUGAAGAACGUAGCGAAAUGCGAUAAGUAAUGUGAAUUACAGAAUUCAGUGAAUCAUCGAAUCUUUGAACGCACAUUGCGCCCGCCAGUAUUCUGGCGGGCAUGCCUGUUCGAGCGUCAUUUCAACCAUCAAGCCCCAGGCUUGUGUUGGGGACCUGCGGCUGCCGCAGGCCCUGAAAACCAGUGGCGGGCUCGCUGUCACACCGGGCGUAGUAGAUUUUAUCUCGCUCAGGGCGUGCUGCGGGUCCCGGCCGUUAAAAGCCUUUUUUUACCCAAGGUUGACCUCGGAUCAGGUAGGAAGACCCGCUGAACUUAAGCAUAUCAAUAAGCGGAGGA